UAAAUAGAGAUACACAUAGGUAAAGAAAAUUUAACCAUUGUACCUCUUGUAUCAGGGGAGUUUAAAAUAUUAAACAGGGGUUAAUCGAGCGACGGGGAACUUUUUAUUAAGGUGUUAGUUGAAUUUAUCAUGUUAAUAUUUAACGGGGCGAUAAAUGUACGGCACGUUUAAUUUCUAUUUACUUUUGUUUGUUAGGGCAAAGCCUGGCAGUGUUUAGGUUAAAGCGUUGAGUAUAAAGAAGACAAGGCUUUAGAUUGGUCAAGUUACUAAAUUGUUUUUAAUAAUUUUUCGUAAUUCAUAUCAGCUAAAUUUUAAAGGUUAGUUUAAAGGCUACUAGCUAAACUUAAUAAUGAAUUUAUUGAACCCAAAAUGAAAGCUUAAAGAGACUCAAACUAAGUUAGAAUGUUUAACAAAAACAUUUCUUUUUUCUUAGGAAGUAUUGCCUGCCCAGUGAUUAUUAAACGGCUGCGGUAUUUUAACUGUGCUAAGGUAGCAUAAUCAUUUGCUUCUUAAUUGGUAGCUGGAAUGAACGGUUAAACUGUCUUAGUACGUGUGUUAGCUUAAAUAGAAAAUUAAAGUCAAGGUAAUAAUUCUUUGAUGCUCUAGGGGACGAUAAGACCCUAUAAGCUUAACAAGCUUAAAGUAAAUUUUGUGGUAUAGGUUAUUUUGUUUUAUUGGGGCGAUAUUGGUGAGUUAGCCGCCACACUAGUUAAGAUCCCUAACAUUUGGAUAGAGCGUAAAAGUUACUUUAGGGGUAACAGUGUUAUAUACUUGGAGAGACCUUAUCGAUAAGUGUGCUUGCUACCUCGAUGUUGAAUUAAAAUUUCUAUGCGAAGCAGUAGGUGCCGGAGAAGGUUUGUUCAACCUUUAAAUUUUUACAUGAUUUGAGUUCAAAUCGGUUUAAGCCAGAUUGGAUUUUAUCUCUAGAUAGGUUUAGCCCUCUUUAGUACGAAAGGGUUGACUGGGCUUGGUUGUCU
rnacentral:rRNA from 1 species